GUACUCAUUUCAGCAGCAAAUCUACUAAAAUUAGAACGAUACAGAGAAGAUUAGCAUGGCCCUAUUAAAGGGUAACAUGCAGAUUCAUGCAGCAUCCUGUAUUUUU